GACGAACGCUGGCGGCGUGCCUAACACAUGCAAGUCGAACGGAGAUAAUUAAUGAAGCUUGCGAUUUAAUUAUCUUAGUGGCGGACGGGUGAGUAACGCGUGGGUAACCUACCCAUAAAACCGGGACAACCCUUGGAAACGAGGGCUAAUACCGGAUAAUCUUCCGAUAUGGCAUCAUAAAGGAAGGAAAGGUGGCCUCUGAACAUGCUACCGAUUAUGGAGGGACCCGCGUCUGAUUAGCUAGUUGGUGGGGUAAAGGCCUACCAAGGCGACGAUCAGUAGGCGGCCUGGGAGGGUGAACGGCCACACUGGGACUGAGACACGGCCCAGACUCCUACGGGAGGCAGCAGUGGGGAAUCUUCCGCAAUGGACGAAAGUCUGACGGAGCAACGCCGCGUGUAUGACGAAGGCCUUCGGGUUGUAAAGUACUGUCUUUGGGGACGAAAGAACUCUAUGUAAAUAAUGUAGAGAAGUGACGGUACCCGAGGAGGAAGCCCCGGCUAACUACGUGCCAGCCGCCGCCGUAAUAC
rnacentral:rRNA from 1 species